rnacentral:piRNA from 1 species
UGGAGUUUGAUAUGGUCAGGUUUGCA